rnacentral:rRNA from 1 species
ACAGAGACUGCAAGCGUUAUUCGGAUUCACUGGGCGUAAAGGGUGCGCAGGCGGCCAGGUGUGUCAGGUGUGAAAGCCCGAGGCUCAACCUCGGAAUUGCGCCUGAAACUGCUUGGCUAGAGCAUUGGAGAGGGUAGCGGAAUUCACGGUGUAGCAGUGAAAUGCGUAGAUAUCGUGAGGAACACCAGAGGCGAAGGCGGCUACCUGGACAAUUGCUGACGCUCAGGCACGAAAGCGUGGGGAGCAAAAGGGAUUAGAUACCCCUGUAGUCCACGCCCUAAACGGUGCACACUAGGUCUUGGAGGAUUCGACCCCUCCAGGGCCCAAGCUAACGCGUUAAGUGUGCCGCCUGAGGACUACGGCCGCAAGGCUA